rnacentral:lncRNA from 10 species
CUAUUCAAAAUCUUUUUAGAGAUGGGGGUCUUGCUAUGUUGCCCAAACUGGUCUCAAACUCUUGGCCUUAAGCUAUCCUUCUGCCUCAGCCUCCCAGGUAGCUGAGAUUACAGGUGCAAGCCACUGCACCUGUGGUUUUAUGCACUGGAAAACCACAAAUUUGUGUGACUCUAUUGCAAUAUUUGCUCUUUUGCAGUGGUUUGGAACUGAACCAGCAGUAUCUCCAAGGUAUGCUGUUAUUUGUAUUGAAGUCUCUCAAUUGCAGCUAGUAAAUUUACAGUACAAAGAGUAUUAGAUAUCUUCUGAAACACAAAGUCACAUCAAGAAACUUGUAUGUAUGUACAUGUAAGUCUUUUUAGAAAGCAAUCUAUGCAUAUUUCUUUGCAUUUAUUUGCUGAAAGAAAAACUUAGAGCAGUUCUUUCAAUAUUUCAAUUAAUAUUUAAGUGACUAGUCUAUGUCAGAGAACUAGCAGGUACUAUAAUACAAUGAGAGCUCCCAGAACCGGCUUAAGGACAACUGGUAAUCUUUUGUUCAUAAAAAUAUAGUUUAAGAAAAAUAAAAUAAGCUGAGCGCAGUGGUUCACACCUGUAAUCCCA